CCUACGGGGGGCAGCAGUGGGGAAUAUUGUACAAUGGGGGCAACCCUGAUACAGCAAUGCCGCGUGAGUGAAGAAGGCCUUAGGGUUGUAAAACUCUUUCGCUAGGGAAGAUAAUGACGGUACCUAGUAAAGAAGUCCCGGCUAACUCCGUGCCAGCAGCCGCGGUAAUACGGAGGGGACUAGCGUUGUUCGGAAUUACUGGGCGUAAAGAGUUCGUAGGCGGAUAAGCAAGUAAGAGGUGAAAGCCCAGGGCUCAACCCUGGAACUGCCUUUUAAACUGCUUAUCUAGAGACCGGUAGAGGUUAGGGGAAUACCUAGUGUAGAGGUGAAAUUCGUAGAUAUUAGGUGGAACACCAGUGGCGAAGGCGCCUAACUGGACCGGUACUGACGCUGAGGAACGAAAGCGUGGGGAGCAAACAGGAUUAGAUACCCGGGUAGUC
rnacentral:rRNA from 1 species